rnacentral:rRNA from 1 species
GGCUGAAAUUCGCCUUCAUGAAGCUGGAAUUGCUAGUAAUGGCAGGUCAGCAUACUGCCGUGAACACGUUCCCGGGCCUUGUACACACCGCCCGUCACACCAUGAGAGUUGGGAAUACCCGAAGCCUGUGAGCCAACUUUUAAAGAGGCAACAGUCGAAGGUAGAAUCAAUGAUUGGGGUGAAGUCGUAACAAGGUACC